rnacentral:tRNA from 1 species
GCCUUUUUAGUAUAACGUCAGUACGAGUGGCUUCCAACCACUGGGCCUUGGUUAAAUUCCAAGUAAAGGUA